AAUCAGGCAUAUGAAAUCAUGCGUGGUUGCCUUUGCCUAGCCCUUGACGCUGACCCAGCAGAGCCUGACUGCAUGGUGCUCCAUCCCAUGAUUAUUGUUCGAGUCCGAGGAGUGCAGCAAGGCAGCUGAGAAAUGGAACUGGUCACAGAACAGUAAGGUCAGAAGGGACCACCAGUAGUCUUCUGGUCUAAUCUCCCUACUCAAGAAGAGUUAUUCUAGAGCAAAUGGCACAGGAUUGUGGUCCAGACAAGUCUUGAAUAUCUCCAGUGAGGGAGGCUACGCAUCUUCUCUGGGCAACCUGUUCCAGUGCAUGGUCACCUGCGCAGUGAAAAAGAUCUUCCUCCUGUGCAAGUGGAACUUCCUGUGCAAUCAAGUUUCUGCUUUCUUCUUUUGGGAGACACAACUAGUGACAGGUCCCAGCUAAACCCUGUGCCACUGACUAUGACCCUCUGGGGUGAGCCACUCUGCCAGUUCUCUCCAUCUCACCCUUGGCUCUUCCUGAGUUUGCCUAUGAGGAUAUUGAGGGAGGUGUAGCCUAAAGCCUUGCUGAAGUCCAGGUGGACAAUACGGGCUGUUCUCCCCUCAUUCACCCAGGCAGAUUUGCCAUUGUAGAAGGCAAUCAGGUUGCCAAGCAGGAUUUACCUAUAGUGAACCCAUGCACACUGCUCCUGACCACGUUUUUGUCUGCCAGCUCUCUCAGCAGUCGUGGGUGCAUCCUCUCCGGCUCCAUGGAGCUGCAGAUGCCAAGUUUGAUGAGUUGGUCUCUAACCCUAUCCUCCUUGACCACGGGAAAGCCUUCCUUCCAUCUCUGGUUUUCCCUGGACCUAGGCCAGAAAUUCCUGGGGGCUGGUCCUGUCAGUGAAGCCUGAUGCAAAAAAGGCAUUCAGUAUUUCUGUGUUCUUAUUCCACAUUCCUUCUUCCUCCAUAAGAGUACAAGGGCAAGGCCAGUUAUUUCCCCCUGAUAACAGAAACCUUGUGUUCAGCUGGUAUAAACUACUAUUGCUUCAUUAACAAUGGCAGUAGUAUGCCAGAUCAUUCACUGAGAUUCUUGGUCUAUAAUUAACUAAUUUUGGUAUCUCUUAAUGAAUGAACUGAAACCUAAGCAAAUACAGUGAAAUUAUAGCCUAUCUUUUUAUUUCAGACAGAGCAGCAUUAUUUCCUCUCUGCUUUACUGAUUGUAGUUUAAUGUUUCACUUAAAUUUACACUGGAAACAGAGGUCCAGGUCUGCCUUGUGUAGUCCUUGAAGUGAGUGGAAGAUGUACACCCAUGUCAGAAGAGAAAUAAUUCCCCAUGCUUACUUAAUAUGUGUGUACUGCAUUGUGGUGUUAUUUCCAGCAUGUGUUUCCUAGAAACAAAACACAAGGUAAAGCAUGGUCAGCAUGCAUUCUAAGAUGAAAUUAUAAUAUAUGACUGCCUAUGAA